GGGUAACGGCUCACCAGGCGACGAUCCCUAGCUGGUCUGAGAGGAUGACCAGCCACACUGGAACUGAGACACGGUCCAGACUCCUACGGGAGGCAGCAUG
rnacentral:rRNA from 1 species